rnacentral:tRNA from 1 species
GCGCGAUUAGCUCAUCGGGAGAGCGCUUCCCUGACACGGAAGAGGUCACUGGUUCAAUCCCAGUAUCGCGCACCA